rnacentral:lncRNA from 1 species
UCCCCUGUUUCUCCUUUGACUAGAUUUUUUUACGCUGCUAUAAGUCAAGUGGAGAUCCUCUAUUUUCACGAAUCCAGCUCUCGAAAAGUUGCUUUACUAUGAGUAAGGGGUGCUAACGAGCAAGAAAACGGAUGCGCUAAGGCGCAACUUCGCGCAGCUGCUACGCCCUUGCUUCUUGUCUUAUCUUUUACUAAGAAACUAAUCUAAAUAGAAAUCUUUCUUUCUCAAAGUAAAGUUUCUCCCAGUAAAAUAAGACAAGAAGCACGAUGCAGAAAGUAGUUGCUUCUUAGUUUACUACAAAAGUGAAUCCUAGGAACAAACUUUGAGGAAGAUACAGUUAUAGUAAGAAGCUAUAGCCUAUAGCUACUAGCCAAUUAUUACAUGUUUCAGUAAAAGGGGUGCUUUCUUUUCUCUCUUUGUAUACAGUUGUACACUUUGCAGGUAAGGAACUUAGAACACAAGUGAAGACAGUGAACAGUGAACUGAAACUGCUGCUACACAGCUACAUGUACCAAAUUUACCAAACUGUCCUUGUCAAGAUUGAGGACAUUUCUCCUAUAUUGAAAAUGGGAUUCAUGAAUCAUGAGAAACUGUACCAGUUUUUGCUACAGUGGCUUACAUUGAUGGGUCACCGG